GACGAACGCUGGCGGCAUGCCUAACACAUGCAAGUCGAACGGAGAAAGUUCAACACUGAGAAUCUCAGUGCAGGACGCCUAGCGGUGAAAGCGAAGCUUUCACUACGCUAUUUAUAGUAUGACAACACAUACGAGGUGGAAAACAUUGAGGAUUUCAGUGUUGAACCUUCUUAGUGGCGAACGGGUGAGUAACGCGUAGGCAACCUGCCCUUUAGUUGGGGACAACAUCCCGAAAGGGGUGCUAAUACCGAAUGUGAUCAUUUUCCCGCAUGGGAUUAUGAUGAAAGAUGGCCUCUAUUUAUAAGCUAUCGCUAAAGGAUGGGCCUGCGUCUGAUUAGCUAGUUGGUGGGGUAACGGCUACCAAGGCGAUGAUCAGUAGCCGGUCUGAGAGGAUGAACGGCCACAUUGGGACUGAGACACGGCCCAG
rnacentral:rRNA from 1 species